ensembl:lncRNA
UUAAUGUGUGAGGUGACGUGGUAGUGGCCACUAAGUGUGGUGUCAGCCAUGCCUAGCCCUGCCUUGGUACAGGAUGGAGCUCUUCAGUCCUUGCUGGGAUUUCCAGCUUGUUCUGAGAUGACUGGAAUUGAAGAACCCCAAACUAAUAGCGCUGGAGUGUACAGGGGGUCUCUGUGCUUGGCCGUGUCCACUGCAGGCUGUGGACCAAUCCAUGCAGAAGCACUGAGUCACUUCAGCCUUCGGACAUCCCUUCUUACCUCUCAUCCAGCCUUCUGCUGAGGAAAUACUCCUAAUGACUACAUUAAUAAUUAUGCACUCGGAAAACCAAGACUGAUCACUGAGGUUGACUCAACACUCAUGGGCAUUGCAGACAGUAGUUAAAAACUACUUUGCGCUGGAGUCAGAGAGUCAGAACUAAUUAAAGAAUAUGUCCACAAAAGCACUGCUAAUAAACUGAAGGGAAGACCUUAAUUAGAAAUUUGGGAGGUAGUAACCCUCCUGUUAAUAAAGCUUAAAUGACAUUUGGGAGCCAUGCAAAAUAAGUAAACAGCUCCUCUCUGCAUAGCUGCAGCCAAAGACAAGACAUCAGAAGAAAAAUCUAAACAGAGUCUGGAUGCUGCCACUCUGGAGCUGAAACAGCCUCUCCUUAAAGCAGUCGUCAGCCGUGCUCUCCACUCCGUAAGAAACAGCACUGCAGCACUUGAAAAAAUCUGUAGAGUACAGCAGCAAGGUGACUCCAAGGACUGCAAGGCAUGAGCAGGAGUAAGCAGAAGCUAAAGCACCUCAGCCUCAAGAGUAUGACUUAAUUCUGCUCUUAAAGUAGAGAUCCAGGCACAUCUUCAGUUUUCUGGCAUGUCAGAAUCAGCCAAUCAGAAUUCAAGAAACAAACAAAAUGUUUUGGGCAUGUAGAUGAUGAUGCAGUGGUUUGCUGAUGACCUGUGUUGGAGGGAUAACUGUGGUAGCAAAAGGCAAUGCCUUGUGAGAUUUCCUUUCUAUUCAGAAAAAUAUAUAUAUGUGUAUAUAUAUACAUAUAUGAUUAUAGCUUGCCCACAAACACAUGCACACAGUUGGAAAUACUUGCAAUUAUGUGCUAGAAAUCAGGACAGUGCGUAUUGCUGUUCUUCACCAUCACUGACCCCAGUGCAAACAGACUGCUCCUCUAGGCUGCCUCCCUUACUCAUCUGGAGCAUGUACCAACCCUGCUUCCCCCUCAAAGGCAGCCAGUAUGGCAUUGCUGAAGCAUGUGCAGCCUGCUCUGACUGUCCCAAGCUCCUUUUCUUACCCCAUUUCAGCCCAGGAUGGCUGCACUCAUCUAGCUGCAGAGCUCCAAAGAUCACUCUGCCAGUCAGGUGCAGAGUCCAUAGUGGGAUUUGCC